rnacentral:rRNA from 1 species
CCUACGUGAGGCAGCAGUGGGGAAUAUUGCACAAUGGGGGAAACCCUGAUGCAGCGACGCCGCGUGAGUGAAGAAGUAAUUCGUUAUGUAAAGCUCUAUCAGCAGGGAAGAAAAUGACGGUACCUGAGUAAGAAGCCCCGGCUAACUACGUGCCAGCAGCCGCGGUCAUACGUAGGGGGCAAGCGUUAUCCGGAUUUACUGGGUGUAAAGGGAGCGUAGACGGCAGCGCAAGUCUGGAGUGAAAUGCCGGGGCCCAACCCCGGAACUGCUCUGGAAACUGUGAAGCUGGAGUGCAGGAGAGGUAAGCGGAAUUCCUGGUGUAGCGGUGAAAUGCGUAGAUAUCAGGAGGAACACCGGCGGCGAAGGCGGCUUACUGGACUGUAACUGACGUUGAGGCUCGAAGGCGUGGGGAGCAAACAGGAUUAGAUACCCUUGUAGUC